UGGCAGCAGGAGAUGAAGGGAGAGGGAGGAGGUGGCAAGACAAAACCCAAUUUCCCCCCCCUUCCUUUUUAAUUCUUUCUUCUGGUGUGUCUGCUCCACCGCCUGGCUAAUCCCCCAAAUCCGGUCUCCUAAGCUGCAGCUGCUUCCCUGCCGCAGUGAUGAAUGGCUCAGGGAGGGAAGAUCUCCUCCAGUGAAUGGCCCUGAGCCAGGAAUAGGGAAUGCCCCAGUUCACCUUUGCCUGCUUCUGUGGACUCCAUGGCUUCUGCAAAAUGAAGAGGAAGAAAGAGGAUACCCACAGGCAUCGGGAGACAGCAGUCUUCCACCAGACGGGUUUAUGAGGAUAAACUGCUACAGUUAUUGACCACUUCAAACCCAUCCACAGAGCGUAAGGUUAAGAAGAAAACUAAAGAGCCACCUCAGCAUCUGGAAGGAGAGGAAGAGGAAGGUACUAUGGUUAAUCCAAAAUUCAUAUGGCUAAAAACUCUUGUGUUUAAUGGAUUUGUCCAGAGCAGUUCAUAUAUCUUAAAAUGUUAUGCAAACGGAGCUCCUAAAUACCAUUUUUUUUCCUGCCAGUUUUCACUUAGGUCCUCCAACAGGUCAUGAAACUCAGGGACCAUUUGUUGUUCAAGGAUUUGGUCCUACAAGGGAGAAUUAUGCAACUGUAACCACUUGACAGCAUUCAAAUACCUGAAAAAAGUUUUUUAUUUGCUUAUAAACUGCAUAUCAUCCUAAUAAUAAUACCAAAAUUGGUAAUUGAUUCCUAAAGUCAAAAUCUAUUACAGGAAAAUUUUAGAGUCCUUUAAGAUAUCCAGAUUAUCUGAUAAAAAGCACAUAAGAGAGCCAGAUGAAUUCAAUUUACCUUCCUUUAUCUAGACUCUCAUACAUGUUGUCUCACUGUCCCAAACAAGAGCUGCUAGGUAGUCUUUUUGGGAAUCCUGGAAUUUGGGGAUUAUGGACACUCUUUGGAAUUCCUUGAUGUACACUUAUAAUGGCACACCCCUUCAGAAGCUCCAGAGUUCCCUGGUAGAACCCCCCAGUUUCAAAGUCCUUAGCAGAUAAAUCCAGGGGUCCCAAAGCAUACCUUUCAAAGAAAUCAAAAUUAGGAGCUAUGAUAGGCAAAUGUGUGGGAAGAGAGGAUCACACAAAAUUCCUUAUUUCUUUCUAGUUUAGCAAAUAAUGAGAAUGCUUUGAGCUACCUUAAGGUCUACUGUUCUCUUCUGUCUCAGGUUGUGGCACUGGGUGCUAGAAAAUCCCCUAAAUUACAUGUAACACAUGGUUGUCCUUCCCACCUCCAACAAGUGCGAUUAAUGUGAGAUACUUCAGUUGUCCUAUGAUGGCAAAGGGUUUGGUGUUUUGUCACAGUCCUGGCAUUUUUUGGAAACCUUAAAGUGCUAUAUAAAUGUUACCUAUUAUUAUUCAUAAAAAUACCUCAGGAAAAUGACAGCCCCUCUAACAACUUUCCACAACAGAUAAUGGGACCUCAAAAUUUCCAUUUCCUGCAGAUAGCAGCCCAAGCAAGCUACUUGUUAUCAAUGACCAUUAGGCAACUGUUCUCCUGUAAAGAGAAGCUGUAUAGAUAAUCAAUCAGUUUGGCAUAGUACCUAAGAGAGAGCAGUGAUGGGCUUUUGGGACCCCUUCCCCACCAGCAGGCACAGGAAAGCUUGUAUUUGUUGCUCCAUGGCAAUCAGUGAAAAGAAUAAACUAUAACUAGGACCAUUGACCCUUUAAAAA
rnacentral:lncRNA from 1 species